GGUAAGGUGGCUGAGGCCUAGGCAAUAAAUUGUAAAUUUAUCCACGAAAUUCAAAUUUCUCUUACCA
rnacentral:tRNA from 1 species